ensembl:snRNA Gm25600 U6 spliceosomal RNA
GUGCUGGCUUUGGGAGCACAAAUACUACAAAAAAAGGGUAAUGAUACAGAUUAGCAUGGCCCCUGCACAAGGAUGACAUACACACUCAUGAAUUGUUACAUAAAAAU